rnacentral:rRNA from 1 species
CGGCGGACGGGUGAGUAAUGCCUGGGAAAUUGCCCUGAUGUGGGGGAUAACCAUUGGAAACGAUGGCUAAUACCGCAUAACGUCUACGGACCAAAGGGGGGACCUUCGGGCCUCUCGCUUCAGGAUAUGCCCAGGUGGGAUUAGCUAGUUGGUGAGGUAAUGGCUCACCAAGGCGACGAUCCCUAGCUGGUCUGAGAGGAUGAUCAGCCACACUGGAACUGAGACACGGUCCAG